CAGCAGCAGCCGCGGGAAUACGAAGGGUGCAAGCGUUAAUCGGAAUUACUGGGCGUAAAGCGUGCGUAGGCGGUGAGUUAAGUCUGCUGUGAAAUCCCCGGGCUCAACCUGGGAAUGGCAGUGGAUACUGGCUCGCUAGAGUGUGUCAGAGGAUGGUGGAAUUCCCGGUGUAGCGGUGAAAUGCGUAGAGAUCGGGAGGAACAUCAGUGGCGAAGGCGGCCAUCUGGGACAACACUGACGCUGAGGCACGAAAGCGUGGGGAGCAAACAGGAUUAGAUACCCCCGUAGUCCCUGUCUCUUAUAC
rnacentral:rRNA from 1 species